UACGAGGGGGGCAAAUGUUGUUCGGAAUCACUGGGCGUAAAGGGAGCGUAGGCGGGUUUUUAAGUCAGGUGUUUAAUCCCGGGGCCCAACCCCGGACCGGCACUUGAAACUGGGAAUCUUGAAUAGGGGAGAGGUCAGUGGAAUUGGAGGUGUAGCGGUGGAAUGCGUAGAGAUCUCCAAGAACACCAGUUGCGAAGGCGGCUGACUGGACCCAUAUUGACGCUGAGGCUCGAAAGCCAGGGGAGCAAACGGG
rnacentral:rRNA from 1 species